rnacentral:rRNA from 1 species
UACGGAGGGUGCAAGCGUUGUCCGGAUUUAUUGGGCUUAAAGGGUGCGUAGGCGGUUAAUUAAGUCCGUGGUGAAAUCCUGGAGCUCAACUUCAGAACUGCCAUUGAUACUGGUUGACUUGAGUACAGACGAGGUUGGCGGAAUUGAUGGUGUAGCGGUGAAAUGCAUAGAUACCAUCAAGAACACCGAUUGCGAAGGCAGCUAACUAGGCUGUAACUGACGCUGAGGCACGAAAGUGUGGGGAUCAAACAGG